AUUGAACGCUGGCGGCAGGCCUAACACAUGCAAGUCGAGCGGAGCGGCGGACGGGUGAGUAAUGCCUAGGAAGCUGCCUGGUAGUGGGGGAUAACGUCCGGAAACUGGCGCUAAUACCGCAUACUAUUCGAUGAGCCUAGGUCGGAUUAGCUAGUUGGUGGGGUAAAGGCCUACCAAGGCGACGAUCCGUAACUGGUCUGAGAGGAUGAUCAGUCACACUGGAACUGAGACACGGGCCAGAAUCCGACGGGAGGCAGCAGUGGGGAAUAUUGGACAAUGGGCGAAAGCCUGAUGCAGCCAUGCCGCGUGUGUGAAGAAGGUCUUCGGAUUGUAAAGCACUUUAAGUUGGGAGGCGUUACCAACAGAAUAAGCACCGGCUAACUUCGUGCCAGCCGCCGCGGUAAUAC
rnacentral:rRNA from 1 species